GAUGAACGCUGGCGGCGUGCUUAACACAUGCAAGUCGAACGGAGUUGAUUUAAGGAAGCAAGCUUGCUUGAAGAAUUGAAUUAACUUAGUGGCGGACGGGCGAGUAACACGUGAGCAACCUACCUCUUACAGGGGAAUAACAACGGGAAACCGUUGCUAAUACCGCAUGAUAUGUGCUGAAGGCAUCUUUGGCACAUCAAAAGAGCAAUCUGGUGGGAGAUGGGCUCGCGUCUGAUUAGCUAGUUGGUAAGGUAACGGCCUACCAAGGCGACGAUCAGUAGCCGGACUGAGAGGUCGAACGGCCGCAUUGGGACUGAGACACGGCCCAGACUCCUACGGAAGGCAGCAGUGGGGAAUAUUGGGCAAUGGGCGAAAGCCUGACCCAGCAACGCCGCGUGAAUGAUGAAGGCCUUCGGGUUGUAAAAUUCUUUGGACAGGGACGAAGAAAGUGAC
rnacentral:rRNA from 1 species